rnacentral:rRNA from 1 species
CCUACGGGCGGCUGCAGUGGGGAAUAUUGGACAAUGGGGGCAACCCUGAUCCAGCCAUGCCGCGUGUGUGAAGAAGGCCCUCGGGUUGUAAAGCACUUUCAGUGAGGAAGAACGCCUGGUGGUUAAUACCCAUCAGGAAAGACAUCACUCACAGAAGAAGCACCGGCUAACUCCGUGCCAGCAGCCGCGGUAAUACGGAGGGUGCGAGCGUUAAUCGGAAUUACUGGGCGUAAAGCGCGCGUAGGUGGCUUGAUAAGCCGGUUGUGAAAGCCCCGGGCUCAACCUGGGAACGGCAUACGGAACUGUAAAGCUAGAGUGCAGGAGAGGAAGGUAGAAUUCCCGGUGUAGCGGUGAAAUGCGUAGAGAUCGGGAGGAAUACCAGUGGCGAAGGCGGCCUUCUGGACUGACACUGACACUGAGGUGCGAAAGCGUGGGUAGCAAACAGGAUUAGAUACCCUUGUAGUC